UUCUGUAUUAUGCCCAUCUCUCUCUCUCUCUCUCUCUAUCUAUCUAUCUAUCUAUCUUGCCCUAUAUUGUUUUGAAGGUGAAGGGAAGAGUUGAAAAGGCAAUGAAGACGAGAGAGAUGCCUUCCUUCGCCUUGGAAGGUGGCAGCAAAACCUGGGCCUGAGAGGUAUAUCCUGUGUCAUAUUCUUUCUCAUUUUCAUUCACCUUUUAUGAUUUUUGUUUCUGUGGUUUUUCUUUUUCUUUUCACAUCUAAACAUUGAAAUAUCUUGGAUUAGAUUUCCAUCUUCGUCCAAUCAGAAUCCAAAAGGGAGGUUAAACUAUCUUCAAUAUUGCCUGUCUUCCAUGUGUCUGGCCUUACGAGAACUCCUCUCUCUCAUUUUUAUAAGGCAACAUAUCUUUCUGUAUCCAACUAAUUGGAAAAGAACUAGAUGCGUCAUACUGAUUGCUUUGGUUUGCGAUGGUAGAAAAGUUUUGUAUUCUAUGAUCUGUUCUCUUUUUGUUUGAUUAAUGCUUGCUUCGGCUCGCCUUGGUUGCUUAAGUGAUAGUUAUUCUUUCUGGCCCAAGUAAGCAUUUUCAGAUACAAAAUGCAAAGAAGUGAUAACAAAAAUUACAAAAUUCAAAUUAAGGAUAGAUUUCUACGUUUAACAUGCAAAACCCUUGACAGAAAUAAUGUUUCAACUUUAAUAUCUGAGUUUCCCUGCCAAUAAAAACUUCUGAUAAUCAUAUUUUGAUCGUCUUUUCUCUCUCUUUGUUCUAGAUGGUCUUCUAUUUAAUUUGCCAUCUGGCCUUCGCUUGCAG
rnacentral:lncRNA from 1 species